GGACGAGAGAGCUGAGGAGCUGCAGAGGAGGAAAAGGGAAGAGCAAGGGAAAGUAUCUGCAAGGUUCAUCGAGGCUCUGAGAGCUCGGAUGAAGGAGCGAGUGUCUCAGGAGAAGCUGGAGCCUCCUCCUCUCUGCUGCUGCGCAUCAUCUUUCUGGGACUCCAGAAUCAUAACGCUUAAAAUCACAAGGGAGUACAAGUAGAAAUAAAACGUUGAGUUCAAAGGUACUGCAAUAAAAAAGAUGAACAGGGCUAAGGUGAAUGCUCAGUUCUGAUUGGUCAUUUGGACCUUCUGCAGCAAUAAGACCAAAGUCUAAGGAUAGUGAGAGCUGUAAAGCUUCAAUGAAUAUAAGCUCAUCGAAACACACAUUUUACUUUAAUGUCAUGAAGAAGCUUAAUCUUAAAAUAGUGUUCAAUAUCAUGUGGUAUGAUCCUUAAUACCAAUGAAAGGGUGAAGAUAUGAUCAAAUGAAUAAAUGAGAGUAAAAAAGUGUCAGGAAGAAAAACAAAAACACUUGAGUUGAUGGAAUUGAUGUAGAUAUUAGGAUUAUUAUUUAUACAUUUACUGUGAUAAAUGUUGAAAAAUAAAUAUGAAUGAGUUUGCUCAUGUUUUGAAGAAAUAUUCCCAAAAUGAAUUGAACAUACAUUUAGCCAUUUUGAAUUUUAUUGACAGAGAAAACACGAUAAACAAAUAAAAACUGAACAGCAGCUGUGGUUCCUAACAACUCACAUUGAGAGAGUAUCUUUACUCCAACUGGAUGAUAUGAACACAGAGAGACAGACGUGUUGGCAGAACAUGUUUCCUGUUUGUGACAGAAAAAUAAAACCAUGUGAAACUGGUUUAGUGUCGCUCAGCCUGUUGAAAUGUUGAGUCCUCACUGGAGGACAAAGGCACGAUCCUCUCCUUUUCUGUGGCAUUUUAUGAGCUUUUUAAUAAUUGACUAAGUGGAUAAAGCAUAAAGGAGCAGUUUGUUUAUUGAGCUGUCCCAUAGACUAAGUCUGACUCCUGCAGGGGCCGGAGUUUGAAACCUGACAAAAAAAGUCUGUCUGCUGCAAGUUGCCCCCUCUCCCCUUCUUUCAUUAAAUAAAUGCAAAAAGCAGAAAUAAAUGAUCUUUAACAUA